AGAAGCCAGGCAUGCCUAUCCAUGAGCUUAUUAAAGAAUUCAGGGCUACAAAAGGCUCUCAUUGUAAGUUACUUAAUUUUUCUCAUCUCUGUUUGUUGUUUAACAAAACAGGCCAAUCAAUUCUCAUCCUAUCGGUUGUUGUUUUCAUAUUGUAAAUCAUAAUGUGCACUUUUGCUUGUUUGCAGUCUACAGGAAGAAGAAUAAAGCUGUACAACCACAAGUACAGCCGCAGGUCACUGUCCAAGGUCCUGAAAGGUCCCCCCAUCCCAAGCCAAUCCCGGAGUGGGAGGCAGGCCCGUUGCUAAUGGAAGCUAGAUGUGAGGAUGUCAGGGAGCCUUUCUCCUUCAUCUCUAGUGACCAGCCCUGCAGCAGCCGAGACAUCCAGGCUAUGGAUGCAGUGGCAGGAGCUUCUACUGACGGUGGCCAGAACGAGUUUGGCCUGCAGGUCUCUGCCACCACCAUCACACUGUCCCCAGGGCCCAUCCCAGCAGACGUUGCCCAGGGCCUGGCCCUGUACCGGCGCAAGAUUGACCUAGAGUCAUCCCCCCGGGACUCUCCUCCACUCGGGGCUUCCGCCAACAACUCCUGUGCGCGUGUCCGUUCGGCCCUCUUCGAGCGGGUCUCCAUCAGUGAGAUCAGCCAGGAGUUGGAUGCGGUGCUGAUCCGGACUGGCGUGCUCCCAUCAGAGUCCCUGAUCAUCGUGCAGACAGAGCAUGUACCCAAGAUGAUUGUGUUCCAGGCUCAUCCCCUAUUGGCUGAGAACGCAGCAGUGGCUCCGCCUCCGUGUGACGCCCCUGUCAGGUAUAAGUGCAGCUGUGCCUCAAUGGUGGGCGCCAUCGAAGACGUGGUGGCACCAUUGGAGAUGGCCGGUGCAUCUCAGCCCAGCUAUCCCAUCUGUGAGAGAGCAGGUCCCGUGGUGGAGAGACCAGCUGCUAUGGUCGCUGAGCCUGAGGAGUCUCCAGCCCUUGGAGACAAGGUUGUACCCCUUGAGGUCCACUCUGCACCAGUCGAACCCCAGGAGAUGACACCCUCAAGGCCCUCCAUCCCAGUUGGAACACUGGAGCUCCCUGUUUCAGCCCCUGCUGUGUCUGACUCCCCUGCUAUGGCUGUCCAAGAGGUGCAGAUUAGUUUGACCGAUCGUCCUCUCUCAGUCAUCCUACACUCCCUCUCUGGUGCAACUUCACCAUCCGAGACAGCAGAGGAUGUGAUGCUGGUUCCUAUGGUAGUGUCCCCUCCUGAAUCAGUCAAAAGGGUGGUGAGAGAGUCCUCUGAUCUUCUGUGUCCUCUUCCUGCAGCGACAUUGGAGACUGAGUCUGUUAGUGUGAUUUGUCCCCCUCCUUCUCCAGUGACUGUGCAGAUCCAGUCUUCCAUUCUGGCUUCUCCCCUUACUGCUGCAACCGUGGAGACAGAAUCCUCCAAUCGGAUUUGUCCUUCUUCUGUGGUCAGCGUGGAGACUGAAUUGGCCGAUAUGCUAUCUCCUUCUGCUGCAGAGACAGUGGAGGCCGAAUUUUCUGUUUUGACCUGCCCCCAUACUGCAGUGACCGACGACUUUGUGGCCCCUGUUUCUGUGUACCUUCCUGUUGUGGCACCAGAAGAGACCGGUGUCCCCAGUGUGCAGCUCCCAGCUCCCGCGCCUGCCUUGACAGAGGAAACUCAGUGCCAGUCUGCUUCACCAUGCCUACCCACCCUCACGGCCGCAGGAGAGUCCAGAACCCCCUUCUUGGUCUACCUCCCACUGCCUGCUCCAGAGCUGGCUAAGACCCCUGGUCUGUUGUGCCAACUGGGCCUGGGACCAGAGGAAGCCAAGAGCUUCCCUUUCCUGUGUCUCCCUAUUUCUGACAUCCCCAGGACCCCAAGUCUUGUGACUGCCAGUCUGGCUCCAGCUCAGACUGCGGCUGUGGCUCCUGCUGCUGCUCCGGAUUUACCAAGGUCCAACCUCCCUGGAGUGACAGAUAUCCCCAGGACCCUGAGUUAUGUGGCGUCUGGAGCUCAGGAGCUACCACGGCUCCAGAGCUAUGCGGCUAACACCGCUGAAGUCCAAGAGCCACCGAGGACCCUCAGCUAUCUGGCUAACACCCCUGGAGUUCAGGAAAUACCACACAACCCCAGCUAUCUGAAAAACUCAGCUGUCUUCCAAGAUAUGUGCUUUAUGUGCCCCUCCGUUACCGCCUCCAAUCUGUCCAGGAACAAUAGCUUUGUGCACUCUCCGGCUGCCAUGGCUCCACAGCAGCUGAUUAGGGGCCCGUGUAUGAUGUCUCUGUACCCCCAGGGAGGGCCUGUGAUGGGCCACUGUACCCACUCCCCAGGACAGUGUCCUGCGUCUUUGCAGCAGCAGGCUGGCAUGGCUCCGCUCAACCACGGACAGCAGACCAACACCAACUUCAUGCCCAUUUGUUCUCAAGGGCCAAGCCUGUGUAGCUGCCUCGGCAGAACUGGCAGCCACUGGCGCCUCUGUCACCUGACGCGACCCGAGUCCCAGGGCAGGGUGGGCGGCAUGAUCUGCCCCUACCAGAACUCCCAGACCAUGAUGCACUGCAACAGCCUGGAUCACAUGGCCAACAUCCCCAUGUACCAGGACUGUGGCCACUACUCUAGCAGCUGCCACCUGCUGCCACCGUGCUCCCAGUCGUCCCACAGCAGCCUGCACACCCACCACGUGGCCGAGCCCCGUUGCUCUGCUCACAACCUGGGCACCUCCUUCGUCCAGCCCCAGAACUGCUCCUCCGACCCCCUCUUCCACUACCCCCAGCAGUACCACCUGGUGGCCACCCCCUCCCAGGAGAGGCAGCAGGCCCUGUGCCCUCUCCAGUGCCCACUGCUGCAGCAGCGCCACAGCUCCCUGCUCUUCUGUGGGCACCAGGGGGAGCUGAGCAGGCUGGGCUCCUCCAGCUGUGUCCCUGCCACCAACCAGAGACAGAACCAGGGAGGGGUGGAGCAGAAGAACAACAACCCCAGCUGCGUAUCGCUUCAUAACAAAAGAUUAGACACGAGCGCAAACAACAAUCAAGGCUGCGUCAUGAACUGCAAUCCCCAGGGCAACUAAUCCUGUCUUCACAUGAGAAGGACCUUAUUUUUGCAGUUGCCAAUGUCUCUUUUGCAUUCUUUUAAACUGAUAAUGAGGAAUAAAUAUACUUACAUUGCAUGAAUUUCGAUAGUGCACCGACCCUCAAUCAAUCACUACAAAAACAUACAACUUAAGGUAAUUGCAGCUAUGUAAAGGCAGUAGAUGGAGGGUAAACUUCCACAUUGAUACAAAAGUUUGACAAAGAUUCGGUAUUGGGCUGUUGUUUAAAGAUAGAAUCCUUAGUCGCUAUAUCAAUUUUUGGACUCUAACUUAUAAAUCCCUCUCGAGCUUAGUUCAACUGUCGUACCCCAUCAGAAACCAAAAUAUAAGCUUGUUUUACUCCAAUGUUUGUAAACAAUGUAAACAAACACUUUAUACCCUCCAAACAUGGUUCAAACUAUAAUUUUGAUAUCACUGAUGGUCAGUCCUUACGUCAAUGGCUCUGUCUAUGAAUUUGAGAGAGGCAUGGAGAAAUGUAACCAAUCUCUCAACUUUUUACCAAAACAGUGGCGAGGUGUCACUUUGUUCUAUUUUUAAACUAAGGAUUCUAGCUUUAGGACCACUGUUUCUAUGGAAUGAAUAGAACCAUUGCAACACUCACAAAAUGAGUCAUAAUGUCACAUCCAUGUUGCAUAGUAACAGAUUCCAUGGGUGGAAGUGGGAGUAAAACAAGAAGAAAUAGAAAAUCACCAUCAAACUUUAAAAUCUGACUUAGACAGUCUGGACUGACUGAGCCUAAGGCCAUGUCAUCCUUCUAACAUCUGCUCAGUUACUCGUCAGAACUCAAAAUGACCUGUUCGCCAGGUUGUUAGGACAUAGAUCCAAAUGUUGCAUGGGGUAAGGAAUGCAUUAAAUAGAAAAGCUCAAUUAGCUUGCAGGUAAUGUUAGCUAUUAUACAUGUUGUUUGUUUCCCUGCUAUUGAAGCUCAUCACAACAUUAUUUGACUAUCUAAUGAGAAGAUGUUAGAGCAACUACACCAUAUUAUUUAAAAAGUACAACCAUACGGUAGACAGAAAGUGAUACAUUGUUACUUUUGGCUUUGUUGUGGUGGAUGAGCUAAACAAUGGAACAUUGCCCGUGUCUGUCGAUUGCCACCAACAACAACAAGCAAAACUCUCUAUGCAAGUGCCCACUACCAGUUACCAACAACAAGCAAUACUAUCAUUACCAGUGCCUACUGCCAGUUCAAUGAAAAAGGAUUUCAACUCUACAGUCUGACCUUCAACUCUCACUGAGCCAAAGUACAGUCCACUCAAUCCAACUGGGACAACAGCUGGUUCAGAACCAAAGGAGAGAGUCAAAUCUCCCCAAACAUGACAACAGAGAAAAUAAAUAAAGAGGUCAAUCGAACUCAACCUAAAAAAUGGAAUCACCAAGGAAAUGUGUGGGGUAAAGAUCCCAAACAUAUUCUUAUUCAUUCCUUUACACUUGUGUGUUUUAAGGUAGUUGUUGUGAAACUGUUAGAUUACUUGUUAGAUAUUACUGCACGGUUGGAACUAGAAGUACAAGCAUUUCGCUACACUUGCAUUAACAUCUGCUAACCCUGUGUAUGUGACCAAUAAAAUUUGAUUUGAUUUAAUAAUGUUUAAUUCAUGUUUACAUACUGCUUUACUCGUCUCAUAUGUUUAUACUGUAUUGUAUUCUACUGUAUUUUAGUCGAUGUCACUCCGACAUUGCUCAAUCUAAUAUUUAUAUAUUUCUUAACUCCAUUCUUUUACUUUUAGAUUUGUGUGUAUUGUUGUGAAUUAUUAGAUACUGCUGCACUGUUGGAGCUAGGAACACAAGCAUUUCGCUACACCAUAACAUCUGCUAAAUAUGUGUAUGUGACCAAUACAAUUUGAUUUGUAUUUCUAUAGUCAUUGAUGCACACAAAACACAAUAUUUUACAGUCACUUCCUCAAAAUGUCUUUCUUUUUCCGCCAAAGCCGAAAGACUGUGGCAAAGUCUAUGAUGAGGAACUGCUGAAGUAUGGAUACAAAGUUACCUCCAAGGAGGAUGGUACUUCUAAUGCCCAUGUGGACAACAAGUGAACAAUGUUACAGCUCCGUCAGCCAUGGAGCAGCAGGUGAACCAAAC
rnacentral:lncRNA from 13 species